GGGCCAGGUGGCAGGAGAGGGGGCCACUCUGAGGCCCAGGGUCAGGAGGCAGCAGACAGAAGAUGAAGCGCUGUCAGGAGCCGGGCCGGGCGGGAGGGUUCUCCUGUCACCUAGCAGGAAGACUGCCUCCAGCAUCUCCCAGGCUCCGUGCGCUCGGCUGAGUGCCUUUCUCAGGAUCCCAGCUCAGGCCUGAGCCCUGCUCAGCUGGAGCCCCCGGAAUGUCAGGGAGGCCCAGCUGGUCUCUGCAGGCCACAGACAGACUCCAAGACAGACUUGGGGAUGUGGCUGGAAGUUUUAAAAGGCAACAAGAGCAGCAGGGGAGCCAGACUUUGAAGUCAGAUGAACAGCUUUGCUGGGGCGGGGGUGGGGGGGGCUAAUUCUGUUGCUGGUGUGUGCAACCAGGUCAGGAGGCUGCCCAGCCCCCUCCGCUCAGGAAAGGUGCUUGUUAAACACAGAGUCAUAAUUUGUGGCUAAAUAUAAGCCAGUGUGUUCACACGGAAAGUAUAAUUCAGGGAGCUGGUUGUGUGAGCUUAUCAACCAGGAGGCCCAUCUGGGUUAAAUUGAAGUGAUUUUCAUAAAUGAGCAGGAGCAUCCGAUGGCCAGGUUCCUUCCUGACUUUGUAUUCGUGACAGUCUGACUGCUAUUAGUGUUAAAGCGGAUAAAGGGGGUGGGGGAUCCCGGGACCCCAGAGGAGGGGGCCUCCCAGCGCCCUCCCCUGCUCUCCCCUCUGUCUGUUUUCUUCUGACCUGCACAAAUACAGAUUCCACCCCAAUUCGUGAUGCAUCAAUACCCGCCAAAGGCAGGAAUGGGGGGGGCAGGAAAGGGUCCCAAAGGGAGACUCCCCAGAAAACUAUCUCUUCCAAAAGCCCCAGCCAGGAUGGCCAGAGGAGCUGCCCCGAAGCCAGCGCCAGGCCGGCCACUCCCGCCCUGGGGGCUUUUCGGGCACAUUCCAUCAAGGCUGGGGCUCUCUCAGGCUCUGGGCUCAGGUCCGUUUCACUAAAGCCAACCCAGAGCCUGGCCUGCUGCUUUCUGCUCUGGCGAGUAUUUGCAACGUGCUCGCAACGAGGGCUUUUUCUUUCCAUCAGAAUUGAUUUUUGUUUGGUUUGCAUUUGUAUUUUUUAAUAGCAGGAAUUUUCCACGCAAAAAGCCUCCCCCAGGAGGGUGGGGAAAAAAAAUCCAAGUCCUACAUCCCAGCCAGCAACAAAAGCCCUUUGGAAACUGCGCUGCAGGGCGAGCUGAGCCGGGCGCCCAGGCCCCGCGUGGGGAGAAGCGGGCGCAGCACCUACCGCUCGGCGGCGGC
rnacentral:lncRNA from 1 species